AACGUAGGUACCGAGCGUUAUCCGGAUUUACUGGGCGUAAAGCGCGUUCAGGCGGUUUGGCAAGUCGGGCAUGAAAUCUCUCGGCUCAACCGGGAGAGGUUGUCCGAUACUGCUGGACUUGAGGGCAGUAGAGGGUGGUGGAAUUCCGGGUGUAGUGGUGAAAUGCGUAGAUAUCCGGAGGAACACCAGUGGCGAAAGCGGCCACCUGGACACCAACUGACGCUGAGACGCGAAAGCGUGGGGAGCAAACAGG
rnacentral:rRNA from 1 species